rnacentral:lncRNA from 1 species
GGUAUUUUGUCUUAUUUUAAAAUUUACAUUGAAAAUAUAAAUUAGCUUUUAUUUGUGAUGUUAUGUGUUGUUAUAGUAAAGAUUUGUUUUAUUUAAAACAGUCAAGAUUUUUAGGAGGAAGUAGAAAUCAAUUCUUAUUUUAAGCAGAAAUUUAUUGGAAGGAUCUUUAGUAUCUCACAUAACUAUCAGGAAGAUGGGAGAAUCUUCAGUCAAGAUCAUACCAGAGGAACAAGUUAGUUUGGGUUUUGCUAUAUGUUGCCAACACUGACUCAAUUCUACAGAUAUGAUUAAUGCUAACUCUCCUGGGGAUUUGUAUUAGUAAUUUGAGUUUUAGAAUCUCAAGUAGACUUGAUAAAACCCAGGACACAUAUCCUUGCCCUUGAUGCCAACGGGGAGAAAACAGAAAUCUGGAAUCCUUUGCUUUCUGUAACAAAAGGCAAGACCUUGCUUUUCAACAAAACAAAUGGAUUCCCCCAAACAGGAAGAGUUUGAAUGCUUAGAAUCCAUAGAAAAGGGUGCAUGUCUACUGCCAUUCACCUAUUUGACUGCCCAACAUCCAUUUACAUCUUUCUUCCCAUACUUACCCUUUUUAAAAAGAAGUUCCACUCUAACCCAAUACACUGUUCACUAUAAAACCAAAGAAUCAUUCUCUUCCACAAAGAGUUAUGAUCCUGAAUGUAUUUAGUGUCGUAUCCAGCUCCAGCUCAAGGUAAUAUCUGAUUUUCCACUAUCAUUAUAUGGCCCUAUAUUAGUGUUAUAUAUCCUAUGGACUUGAUUAUAUAGUUAACCUAUGUAAAAUAAUGGAGGUAAAGAAGCAAGGGGAAAUUAGUUGAAAUAUAUAAGUAUAUAUAUAACAGAGAAUGUACGGAAAUAUGGGUAGAUAGUACAGUCUUUGUAUUUUUACAGCUGUUUUAAGGCCUGAGCUAGCAUUUGUGAC